UGAGGAAUUUUGCGCAAUGGGAGCAAUCCUGACGCAGCAACGCCGCGUGGGUGAUGAAGGCCUUCGGGUCGUAAAGCCCUGUCAGGUGGGAAGAAUGUCCCGGGACUGAACAGGUUCCGGGAGUGACGGUACCACCAGAGGAAGCACCGGCUAACUCCGUGCCAGCAGCCGCGGUAAUACGGAGUGUGCACGCGUUAUUCGGAAUUACUGGGCGUAAAGCGCGUGUAGGCGGUCCCGCAAGUCUGAUGUGAAAGCCCCGGGCUUAACCCGGGAAGUGCAUGGGAAACUGUGGGACUUGAGUACUGGAGAGGAUGGGGGAAUUCCCGGUGUAGAGGUGAAAUUCGUAGAGAUCGGGAGGAAUAUCAGUGGCGAAGGCGCCCAUCUGGACGGUAACUGACGCUGAGACGCGAAAGCGUGGGGAGCAAACA
rnacentral:rRNA from 1 species